rnacentral:piRNA from 1 species
UGACUCUGAUAUUCAGCCAUGGGAACU